rnacentral:rRNA from 1 species
AUUGAACGCUGGCGGCAGGCCUAACACAUGCAAGUCGAACGAGUGGCGGACGGGUGAGUAAUGUCUGGGAAACUGCCCGAUGGAGGGGGAUAACUACUGGAAUCGGUAGCUAAUACCGCAUACCAUCGGAUGUGCCCAGAUGGGAUUCGCUAGUAGGUGGGGUAACGGCUCACCUGGGCGACUAUCCCUAGCUGGUCUGAGAGGAUGACCAGCCACACUGGAACUGAGACACGGUCCAGAAGCCUAAGGGAGGCAGCAGUGGGGAAUAUUGCACAUUGGGUGCAAGACUGAUGCAGCCAUGGCGCGUGUAUGAUGAAGGCCUUCGUGUUGUAAAGUACUUUCAGCGAGGAGGCGUCACUCGCAGAAGAAGCACCGGCUAACUCCGUGCCAGCAGCCGCGGUAAUAC